UACGGGGGGGGGCAAGCGUUGUUCGGAAUUACUGGGCGUAAAGGGUUCGUAGGUGGCCAACUAAGUCAGACGUGAAAUCCCUCAGCUUAACUGGGGAACUGCGUCUGAUACUGGUUGGCUUGAGUGCAGGAGAGGAACGCGGAAUUCCAGGUGUAGCGGUGAAAUGCGUAGAUAUCUGGAGGAACACCGGUGGCGAAGGCGGCGUUCUGGACUGCAACUGACACUGAUGAACGAAAGCCAGGGGAGCAAACGGG
rnacentral:rRNA from 1 species